ensembl:lncRNA
GGAUACUGUUGUUAAGCCCAUACCCAUGUGUGUGAGGUGGAUACUGUUGUUAAGCCCAUACCCAUGUGUGUGAGGUGGAUACUGUUGUUAAGCCCAUAACCAUGUGUGAGGUGGAUACUGUUGUUAAGCCCAUAACCAUGUGUGAGGUGGAUACUGUUGUUAAACCCAUAACCAUGUGUGUGAGGUGGAUACUGUUGUUAAGCCCAUAACCAUGUGUGUGAGGUGGAUACUGUUGUUAAACCCAUAACCAUGUGUGUGAGGUGCACGCCCAAUUUUUCAGUUUUUGAUUUGUUAAAAAAGUUUGAAAUAUCCAAUAAAUGUCAUUCCAC